GAGUUUGAUCCUGGCUCAGGAUUAACGCUGGCGGCGUGCCUAAUACAUGCAAGUCGAACGGAAGUACCUUCGGGUACUUUAGUGGCGAACGGGUGAGUAAUACAUAGGUAACCUACCCUUAAGACGAGGAUAGCCAUUGGAAACGAUGGAUAAAACUGGAUAGGAUAUAGAGGAAGAAUCUUUUAUAUUUAAAAGAGAGAUCUGCUUAAGGAGGGGCCUGUGGCGCAUUAGCUAGUUGGUGGGGUAAGGGCCUACCAAGGCGAUGAUGCGUAGCCGGACUGAGAGGUUGAACGGCCACAAUGGAACUGAGAACGGUCCAUACUCCUACGGGAGGCAGCAGUAGGGAAUUUUCGGCAAUGGGGGGAACCCUGACCGAGCAACGCCGCGUGAACGAAGAUGUUAUUCGU
rnacentral:rRNA from 1 species